GGUUUCCAUGUCACUAAUGAACCAAAAUACUGGAAGAGCAGAGAUGGAUUAUCCAGACUUGAGAGGCUUGAAAAAACUGGUCAUACCAACAGAAGGGAUAAAUGGUGCCUAUCAAAGACAAAGUGACAACUGGCAAGGAAAUAUUUGUUUCAGUGAAUAUCCAAAUAAGUAAGAGGUUUUUAAGGUUCUUUCAACCAUCCAAGAGACUAACGAGCGACAGAACUCCUAUGGAAGCCUUUUCAUCUUCAGACUUCCUUGUUAAUUGUACUCCGAUUUGAAAUCUGCAACCCCAAACCCAAGUCAAUCAUUUCAAUGCAGCAACUGCUGUUUCACUGCCUUUGCUGUG